rnacentral:rRNA from 1 species
GAUGAACGCUGGCGGCGUGCCUAAUACAUGCAAGUCGAGCGAACAGACGAGGAGCUUGCUCCUUUGACGUUAGCGGCGGACGGGUGAGUAACACGUGGGUAACCUACCUAUAAGACUGGGAUAACUUCGGGAAACCGGAGCUAAUACCGGAUAAUAUUUCGAACCGCAUGGUUCGAUAGUGAAAGAUGGCUUUGCUAUCACUUAUAGAUGGACCUGCGCCGUAUUAGCUAGUUGGUAAGGUAACGGCUUACCAAGGCAACGAUACGUAUCCGACCUGAGAGGGUGAAAGGACACACUGGAACUGAGAAACGGUACAGACGCCUACGGGAGGCAGCAGUAGGGAAUCUUCCGCAAUGGGCGAAAGACUGACGGAGCAACGUCGCGUGAGUGAUGAAGGUCUUCGGAUCGUAAAACGCUGUUAUUAGGGAAGAACAAACGUGUAAGUAACUGUGCACGGCUUGACGGUACCUAAUCAGAAAGCCAGGGCUAACUACGUG